ensembl:lincRNA
CUUAAGGGCAAAGCAGGUUCCCUCGAGAAAGACAAGAAAUUCUGCCAGUGCUGUAGCACCAGCUCCUGACCGAGAGUUGCCCAGCCAGAACCCACCAUUGAGUGAGUCAGUCGCUGAGAUCGGUCUGCUUCCCUGUCAGGACCCUGGCCGACACCAGGAGGAAGCGGGCACCUCUCCCUUCCAUUCAUUCUCUGGGUGCUGACUUGGAGCCGUGACAAACUCUAGACACUGCGCUAGACCCUGGGAAUGUCACAGACACGUUACGGGACAGCAGGGAACACUGGCGUGGAAAAGAUCCUCCUCCCGCAGAGGGAAGCUGUGAGGGGCCCGGAGAGACAGAGUGGAUGGCACUGAGCCGUGAUCUCUUGGGGAGAGGAGCUGCUGGCUGCGUGGUCCCAGCCAUCCUCCACCCACCUGCUGCGGCGUGCUCUCCCCUGGAACUUCCCUUCACAGCCGCAGCACAGCUGUGAUGAGAUCACUGGCCAUGUCACCACGUCUCCAACACCUGCGCCCUCACCGGAGGCCAGCCCCCGCGCACGCCCCGACAAGUCUUCCAGGAGCGAGCAAAGAGCCCGCGACAAGGAGGAUGGAAGGCGGCGCGGCCGUGGGCAAGGCCUACCUGUGCACCUGGUGAUCAGCACUUACCUAGACUUCGGAGGUGAGAGGAUGGUCACAAAGAUGCACAUCAGACCUUGGUUUGAGCUGAAAGAUGAAGCCCACUCUUCCCUCAGAGAAAGUGUGUCUGAUAAGCGUGUUGGGUUGGCAGCGAGAUUGUGCCAACUUUGCCAACUGGUUACUUUGGUGGAUAUUUUCCAUCAAUCAAAUGAAUUCACUCUAUAGCUUUAAAAUUUUGUCAAAAAUAUACGUAGAGCAUAUGACAAGAGCAUUUAAUAAUUGGGGGAAAGCAUAUUGAAAUUAAUAUUUUAAUUUUUCCGAUUCUUUCUGCAUGUGUCUGGUUAAACAAAGUGCCAUUAAGUGAAAGAGUGACAGGUACAGCGUAUCCACAGCUCCCAGAUAACUCUUUGGUGCACUUCUCCAGAAACUGGUAGAGUGAAGGGCUCUCGCGACUGUGUAACAAAUCUCUGUGCAAUCCGAGUGUUUCCAACAAAGUGAAGACAUAUCAACAAGUUGAACAAAACCAAGUUGUCCAUUGACUGAUGAAUAAAUACAAUUUACAUG